rnacentral:rRNA from 1 species
UGGGGAAUAUUGCACAAUGGGCGCAAGCCUGAUGCAGCCAUGCCGCGUGUAUGAAGAAGGCCUUCGGGUUGUAAAGUACUUUCAGCGGGGAGGAAGGUGUUGAGGUUAAUAACCUCAGCAAUUGACGUUACCCGCAGAAGAAGCACCGGCUAAUCCGUGCCAGCAGCCGCGGGAAAACGGAGGGUGCAAGCGUUAAUCGGAAUUACUGGGCGUAAAGCGCACGCAGGCGGUCUGUCAAGUCGGAUGUGAAAUCCCCGGACUCAACCUGGGAACUGCAUUCGAAACUGGCAGGCUAGAGUCUUGUAGAGGGGGGUAGAAUUCCAGGUGUAGCGGUGAAAUGCGUAGAGAUCUGGAGGAAUACCGGUGGCGAAGGCGGCCCCCUGGACAAAGACUGACGCUCAGGUGCGAAAGCGUGGGGAGCAAACA